rnacentral:rRNA from 1 species
UACGAACCGUACAAACGUUAUUCGGAAUUACUGGGCUUAAAGGGUGCGUAGGCGGCCAAGUAAGUGAGGUGUGAAAUCCCUCGGCUCAACCGAGGAACUGCGCUUCAUACUGCUUGGCUUGAGGGAGACAGGGGUAAGCGGAACUGAUGGUGGAGCGGUGAAAUGCGUUGAUAUCAUCAGGAACACCGGUGGCGAAAGCGGCUUACUGGGUCUCUUCUGACGCUGAGGUACGAAAGCCAGGGGAGCAAACGGG